UACGUAGGGGGCAAGCGUUGUCCGGAAUCAUUGGGCGUAAAGAGCGUGUAGGCGGCCCGAUAAGUCCGCUGUGAAAGUCCAGGGCUCAACCCUGGAAUGCCGGUGGAUACUGUCGGGCUCGAAUCCGGAAGAGGUGAGUGGAAUUCCUGGUGUAGCGGUGAAAUGCGCAGAUAUCAGGAGGAACACCAAUGGCGAAGGCAGCUCACUGGGACGGUAUUGACGCUGGAGACGCGAAAGCGUGGGGAUCAAACAGG
rnacentral:rRNA from 1 species